UGCUAAGCCGUAAACAUUGAGAGUUAUCUAUACAAUACUUUCCGCCAGAGAACUACAAGUGAAAAACUUGAAACUCAAAGGACUUGGCGGUGUCCCACAUUCGACCUAGAGGAGCCUGUCCUAUAAUCGAUACUCCUCGUUCUACCUCACCAACACUAGCACCCACCAGCCUAUAUACCGCCGUCGACAGCUUACCCCAUGAGGGCAACACAGUAAGCACAAUAGCCCCCCCCGCUAAUACGUCAGGUCAAGGUGUAGCCAAUGUGUUGGCAGAGAUUGGCUACAUUUUUUAAGAUAAAAAAUACGGAAUACUGCAUGAAAAACAGCAUGAAGGCGAAUUUAGUAGUAAAAUAGACAAGAGAGUCUAUUUUAACAACGCUCUGGGACGCGUACAC
rnacentral:rRNA from 1 species